GGCCACACACAGGGGAGCGCCAAGGGGCGCUGAGAGUGCGGAUAUGACCCGCAGACCCUCAAACCUGAUCCGGUUAGCACCGGCGUAGGGAGUGAGACCUCCUCGGCA
rnacentral:ncRNA from 2 species